rnacentral:lncRNA from 1 species
CAGCACUGACCAGUCUCUGUGCAGGGAGGGGUGUGGCAUCCACUCGGGCCCUUGGUGUGCUUGCUGGACGGGGUGGGGCGCCCCAGGCCACACGCUGGAGCUGCCCUGAGCCGGCCAGUGGGGACUCAAGUUUGUGUCCCCAGCUGUAGCCCCCACGGCGUCUAAACAAGGCCCCGGCACCCACUCCUGAACAGGCCCACUGUGUGCCCGCUCCCCGCCAGCAGGGGGCACAGGAGGACUGACGGCAGGCCGGCAGCAGGCUGGGGAACCAGAGCUCCGCCUCCCUGGGUGCCUGUGGAGCCACCGGCUCAGGGCUUGGAGUCCUCAGGGGGCCCUGGCUGGGGCAGUGGCAGAGCCCUGUGGCGCCUGGCACGUGACAGUGGACAGUAGAGGGGCAGGGGUGGCCCCGGCCCUCCCAGGGCUCACCCGGCCCGUGUGUUCGUCUGGGGACGCUGGGGGUGGGGGCCCUGGCGUGGCGGGGCUCUGGCGUGGCGACGGCCUGCCGAGCAGCCCCACACACGGCGCCUCAACAGGAUGGUCGAGAGAGUCAUGGACAGGCCCUCGGGGACCUUACAUCCUUCCAGCCAGGGGCAGUGGUGAGCAGAGGCUGGCCCAGUCGCCUGCGGGGUCAUAGUCAAGCCGGCCGCAGGGAGACGGGCCAGGCAAGGCCAGGCGCACACAGGUGAGCUAGCCUGGGAGGACUUCAACGUGCCUGGAGGAGCCAGCUAGCAGCAUAGCGGCUCCCCAAGGACAGCCCAAGCGCUGUGUCAGACGCAGGGGCGCUCACAUCCCUGGAUUUGUCUGCAAACCGCUGGACCCGUGAGAACAGGGAAGGGGCCCCAACAGCAGUGGAGCCGGGGUGCACUGCCCUGGACCGCUGGAGCCGCAGUCCGAGCCUGUGCUUGGCCAUGGGCAGGAACCAGCAAAAACCCAUGGACUACUGUCCGGAGGAGCUGCAAGAUGAAACAGUUUCUGGAAAAGACCAGGGAUAUGUUUAAUUGAAAGCCAUCUGCUGCUGCUGCUAAGUCGCUUCAGUUGUGUCCGACUCUGUGUGACCCCAUAGACAGCAGCCCACCAGGCUCCCCUGUUCCUGGAAUUCUCCAGGCAAGAACUCUGGAGUGGGUUGCCAUUUCCUUCUCCAAUGCAUGAAAGUGAAAAGUGAAAGUGAAGUUGUUCAGCGACCCCAUGGACUGCAGCCUACCAGGCUCCUCUGUCCAUGGGAUUUGCCAGGCAAGAGUACUGGAGUGGGGUGCCAUUGCCUUCUCCAUGAAAGCCAUCAAGGAAAUACAAAACCUGUAAAGCAGAAGCAGCAGAAUAGGAAUUGAGAACAGGCAGAAACUGACAUUUAAAAGGGAGCUGACAGGGAAGAGGCACAGCGACUGGGCUAAAUGCUUCACGCAGGGAAAGGAGGCUGGACCCAGACCAGCUGCUGUGGAAUCAGACAACAGAAAGCAGAGAAGCAGAAACCUGCCAGAAGAACAGGGGAACAGGGGGGCCUGGGAGGUGGCUCUGAAGAGGAGACUGUCCCCAGGGUGCGAACAGAGGUCUGAUGGAG